UACGAAGGGGGCUAGCGUUGCUCGGAAUCACUGGGCGUAAAGCGCACGUAGGCGGCUUUUUUAAGUCAGGGGUGAAAUCCUGGAGCUCAACUCCAGAACUGCCUUUGAUACUGGGAAGCUUGAGUCCGGAAGAGGUGAGUGGAACUCCGAGUGUAGAGGUGAAAGUUCGAUAGAUAUUCGCAAGAACACCGGUGGCGAAGGCGGCAUCCUGGACCAAUAUUGACGCUGAGGAGCGAAAGCCAGGGGAGCAAAGCGGG
rnacentral:rRNA from 1 species